GUUCCCGGGCCUUGUACACACCGCCCGUCACACCAUGGGAGUGGGUUGCAAAAGAAGUAGGUAGCUUAACCUUCGGGAGGGCGCUUACCACUUUGUGAUUCAUGACUGGGGUGAAGUCGUAACAAGGUAACCGUAGGGGAACCUGCGGUUGGAUCACCUCCUUACCUUAAAGAAGC
rnacentral:rRNA from 3 species